GCGGGUGGGCUAGAGCCUGGAGACCGCCGGGAGCCCGACUUCCUGGCGCUUUGCCCUUUGGGGAGCGGAGCCAAGGAACAGCGCCAACCUCUCUCCACAAGCCAGGGACCCUACGACCCACCGCCGCAGGCCAGAACCAGCAGCUGAUUUAGAUACCAUCAAGACACCUAAAACCUUAUCAUGAGCCAGAUGCUGUGGAAGAGAUUCUGGGAGAAUCCUGAGGACCCCCCAGUUGCAGCCAUGUCAAGACUGAUGCUGAGGAGGACCCCAACUGUCACGAGCAACACCCGUCGAACACAGCCACCUACUUGGGGAAAGAUCAAGAAGCUGUCACAGAUGGUGGAAGAAAACCUGAGGAAAGCGGGACAACCAGUCACAAUGAGUAAUUUAAUGAUAGCUAUGAGAGCGGUGAUCACCAUUGCU
rnacentral:lncRNA from 1 species